UUGGUGUGUUCAGAGCUGUUGUUUCUAAAACCAUGAACAGGAGUUUAUAUCACACCAUAGACAAUGAAGGGGUCUAGAUGAGUGAAGGGAAAGAAAGCUUUGUGCCCUUCAUCAAAUAAAACUCCUAACAGAU